rnacentral:RNase_P_RNA from 1 species
AUUGCAAAAUGUCCCAUCGCAUUCUAACGAAUGAGGAAAGUCCGGACAACGAAGAGCACCGUACCGCCUAAUCAACGGGCUCGCGCAAAGGCGCGGGACAGACAGUGUCACAGAAACUAUACUUCCCGGGACUCGUUCCGGGUAAAGGUGAAAACGUGCGGUAAGAGCGCACGACUUCGGAAAGUAAUUUCAGAAGUGGACAAACCUUGCGGGUUGAAAUGCCAUGUAUAUUUCGCUUCCAUUUCGAUGGAAAAGGCUUGCUCGGCCAAUUGCCUUCAAGGCAGGCGAAAGGGGUAGGCAGAUGAGAUAAAUGAUGGGAACUCACUUUCGGGUGAGUACAGAAUCCGGCUUAUAAUUUUGCAAAAACA